AUAUAAAUUGGCAAGAAGGAAAUUGGCAAACUGGCAACAAUUUAUUGUGCAUCUACCAUAUGCUAAUUAUAGUAAUCAUUUUUCUUUUAAGACAAUAAACUCCAGGUGCAUUGGAACUUCAGUGAACUUAACCUACCUGUUCAAGUUUCCAACAACCUCAUUCAGAUUUGAAACAAUACAGUUGGAAUUUCAGAAAAUUUUAAAGAAAAAUGGUGGCAGCAAAGAAAAAGAUAGAAUAUAAACAGUCUCAGAAGGAGGAGGUGAAACUCCUAGAUAAGUAGCAGUGAAUACAGUAAGUAAAACCAAAAGCUUCCAAGAAAGUUUUAUUCAGGGGUGACCAUAGGAAUAGAAAAAUGAAGAAGAAGUAUGCAAUUUAGUUUGUAUUUAUGAAGCCAUCAAUGAUGUUACUAAGAAUAUUUUAAGUUUUAAUGAAUGAACAGUAUACGCAGCAAGAACAGGCCAUGCUUUCAGGACGUUUGAUGUUGAAGGGGAAAUGAAUGAUGGAAUGCGUAUGAAUAGGAUAGAGACUGUUCACUUUUAAAGGGAGAGAAUUAAUGUGUUUAAAAAUGAGAGAUAAAAGUCAUUCCAGAGGGUGAACUAGAGAUUUAACUUUGAGAGAUAAUGAUUGAUGGAUCCUUGUCCCAUAGAAGUCAAGACAGGUUAGAAUAUAGAGUGAAGUGUAUGUGGUUUAGCUUUAGAUAAUAAUAGAAACACCUUUCCCCUUGAGAUAGGAGGAAAAGGUAGAUAACAUAAUAAAUUUAGACUAAGAG
rnacentral:lncRNA from 1 species